CAGGCUGCUCACUUAAAAAUACUUAUUUAAAAUAAAGAAUUUUCCCCACUGGUUCAUCAGGAGAGAGAACUUCAAACUUACAUUGGUACUUGAAGAAACUACAAGACAGAGAGGAAGAAGUGGGACUUCAGAGGUGUUUGAAAUCCUGCUCAGAAGUACUGGAAUUCAGUCUUCCAAAUAACUCCAGGGUAUCAUCUGCCUAACACUUCCCAAGUUAAACCUACUUCUACAUCAACACCUUACCUGAAAUUAGGUGGAAUAUACAGCAACAGAGGAGCAGUAUUAAAAAUUAGCUGAUUCUUAACCAGAUUGUAGUUUGAAACAGAUGAAAAGGAA